UCCCGGCGGCGAGGCGUCACGGCGGAAUUAUUUCAGCGCUCCACGAAAGUCGAUGUCGUGUCGCUGUCGCGUUCAACACUCUAUCUUUAAAAAUACUUAGGGAUGUCCUUGUGUUGUUAUUUCAUAUCGAUAUUAAUAAAAUAAUUUGAGACGAAAAGAAAAUCAUAUUACUAAAAUAUUUCUAAUAAGUAAGUUAAAGGGAUAUAGAUAUAACCAAAGAAUAUAUGUGAAUGGAUUGCGUCAAAGAAAGUAUAAAUAGGAAAAGAGUAUAGAUCAAAUGGCAAGAGCCGACCCCACAUGAGUGGGAAAAGGUCAAGAAGGAUAAUUCUAGAUUGAAAUUUAGGUACCUACGUGUAAAGAGUAUAGUCAUGUAAAAAAAUCUCGCCCUAUUUUGGUUUCGAAGUUUACCCAGCUUCAUAUUAUGCAAGAUCUUCGUAUCACUAGAUUAAACAUAACAAUGAUGAAGAUUACUCUAUCAAGCGACUUGUCAGUCAGAUAUUGUCUUCUGGCACGUCAAACAUGGAAGAUUUACUUGAGUAGGCGCCUGCGCCUGAUAACCGCUGUCACGUGUAAUCCGCAUAAGUACGUAAUUCGAAGCAGCCAGCUCGUGUGGGUAGCCCAGCCUCAUCAUGGCGGCAGGCACCAGCUCCUGGAAGGGCGUGGUGGCUGGGAUGAUGACGUAGCUGUCAGUCUCCACUACAGAGCGCCGUCUCCACGCGCCGUCCUCUAACGUCG